UGGCGGCAUGCCUAACACAUGCAAGUCGAACGCUCCGCAAGGGGAGUGGCGAACGGGUGAGUAACGCGUGGGAAUCUACCCAGCAGUGGGGAAUAACCGCGGGAAACUGCGGCUAAUACCGCAUACGCCCUUAGGGGGAAAGAUUUAUCGCUGUUGGAGGAGCCCGCGUCGGAUUAGCUAGUUGGUGAGGUAAUGGCUCACCAAGGCGACGAUCGAUAGGUGGUCUGAGAGGACGAUCACCCAGACUGGGACUGAGACACGGCCCAGACUCC
rnacentral:rRNA from 1 species